rnacentral:rRNA from 1 species
UGGGGAAUAUUGCACAAUGGGGGAAACCCUGAUGCAGCGACGCCGCGUGAACGAAGAAGGUAUUCGUAUCGUAAAGUUCUGUCCUAUGGGAAGAUAAUGACAGUACCAUAGAAGAAAGCUCCGGCUAAAUAAGUGCAAGCAGCCGCGGUAAUACGUAAGGAGCAAGCGUUGUCCGGAAUUAUUGGGCGUAAAGGGUACGCAGGCGGUUUAAUAAGUCGAAUGUUAAAGAUCGGGGCUCAACCCCGCAAAGCAUUGGAAACUGAUAAACUUGAGUAGUGGAGAGGAAAGUGGAAUUCCUAGUGUAGUGGUGAAAUACGUAGAUAUUAGGAGGAAUACCAGUAGCGAAGGCGACUUUCUGGACACAAACUGACGCUGAGUUACGAAAGCGUGGGGAGCAAACAGG